UACGUAGGGGUGCAAGCGUUGUCCGGAAUUAUUGGGCGUAAAGAGCUCGUAGGCGGUCUGUCGCGUCGGCUGUGGAAAACCUCGGGGCUCAACUCCGAGCUUGCAGUCGAUACGGGCAGGCUAGAGUUCGGCAGGGGAGACUGGAAUUCCUGGUGUAGCGGUGAAAUGCGCAGAUAUCAGGAGGAACACCGGUGGCGAAGGCGGGUCUCUGGGCCGAUACUGACGCUGAGGAGCGAAAGCGUGGGGAGCGAACAGG
rnacentral:rRNA from 1 species